AUGUCAUCGUCGGGACCCUGGGCAAUCGCGGACAACUCCGGCGAGGCCUCGGAGGGUCUGGAGCCGAAUCCAAGCUUGUUCAAGAGAUUCAUGGAAGGCGAUUUAGAAGAAAUGGGUGUGUGGGUUUUGGGGAAUGGAGAGAUGGGUUUGAUUGUAAAAUUGGAUUGAAGGAAGGGUUUGGAGAAAUUGAGAGUGGGUUUUGAGAGAGAGGAGGAAAUGAG
rnacentral:misc_RNA from 1 species